rnacentral:rRNA from 1 species
AGAGUUUGAUCCUGGCUACAGAAUGAACGUUGGCGGCGUGGAUUAGGCAUGCAAGUCGUACGCACAGCUUCGGCUGUGAGUGGCGCAAGGGUGAGUAAUGCGAAGGUAACCAACCCUGGAGUUGGGCAUAACCGCGGGAAACUGCGGGUAAUUCCCAGCGAUGUCGCGAGAUGGCAUCAUCUUGCGACCAAAGGUGUGAUUCCGCUCUAGGACGGGCCUUCGUGGUAUUAGGUAGUUGGUGAGGUAACGGCUCACCAAGCCGACGAUGCCUACCGGUGUGAGAGCAUGACCCGGCACACUGGAACUGAGACACUGUCCAGACACCUACGGGUGGCUGCAGUCGAGAAUCUUCGGCAAUGGGCGAAAGCCUGACCGAGCGACGCCGCGUGAGGGAAGAAGGCCUUCGGGUUGUAAACCUCUUUCGUAGAGGAGGAAGGGGCCGUGCAGAGCGGUCUUUGACCUAUUCUAGGAAGAAGCUUGGGCUAAGUUCGUG